rnacentral:rRNA from 1 species
GACGGGGGGGGGGCAAGUGUUCUUCAGAAUGCCUGGGCGCAAAGGGCACGUAGGCGGUGAAUCGGGUUGACAGUGAAAGUCGCCAAAAAGUGGCGGAAUGCUCUCGAAACCAAUUCACUUGAGUGAGACAGAGGAGAGUGGAAUUUCGUGUGUAGGGGUGAAAUCCGUAGAUCUACGAAGGAACGCCAAAAGCGAAGGCAGCUCUCUGGGUCCCUACCGACGCUGGGGUGCGAAAGCAUGGGGAGCGAACAGG